AUUGAUUCAACUUGGUGACGAGUGGCGAACUGGUGAGUAACACGUGGGUAACCUGCCCCGAAGCGGGGGAUAACAUUUGGAAACAGGUGCUAAUACCGCAUAACAACCAAAACCACCUGGUUUUGGUUUGAAAGACGGCUUCGGCUGUCACUUUGGGAUGGACCCGCGGCGUAUUAGCUGGUUGGUGAGGUAACGGCUCACCAAGGCGAUGAUACGUAGCCAACCUGAGAGGGUAAUCGGCCACAUUGGGACUGAGACACGGCCCAAACUCCUACGGGAGGCAGCAGUAGGGAAUCUUCCACAAUGGACGCAAGUCUGAUGGAGCAACGCCGCGUGAGUGAUGAAGGGUUUCGGCUCGUAAAACUCUGUUGUUGGAGAAGAACGGGUGUCAGAGUAACUGUUGACAUCGUGACGGUAUCCAACCAGAAAGCCACGGCUAACUACGUGCCAGCAGCCGCGGUAAUACGUAGGUGGCAAGCGUUGUCCGGAUUUAUUGGGCGUAAAGCGAGCGCAGGCGGUUUUUUAGGUCUGAUGUGAAAGCCUUCGGCUUAACCGGAGAAGUGCAUCGGAAACCGGGAGACUUGAGUGCAGAAGAGGACAGUGGAACUCCAUGUGUAGCGGUGAAAUGCGUAGAUUUAUGGAAGAACACCAGUGGCGAAGGCGGCUGUCUGGUCUGCAACUGACGCUGAGGCUCGAAAGCAUGGGUAGCGAACAGGAUUAGAUACCCUGGUAGUCCAUGCCGUAAACGAUGAGUGCUAAGUGUUGGAGGGUUUCCGCCCUUCAGUGCUGCAGCUAACGCAUUAAGCACUCCGCCUGGGGAGUACGACCGCAAGGUUGAAACUCAAAGGAAUUGACGGGGGCCCGCACAAGCGGUGGAGCAUGUGGUUUAAUUCGAUGCUACGCGAAAAACCUUACCAGGUCUUGACAUCUUCUUGCUAACCUAA
rnacentral:rRNA from 1 species